UACGUAGGGUGCGCGCGUUAAUCGGAAUUACUGGGCGUAAAGCGUGCGCAGGCGGUUUUGUAAGACAGGUGUGAAAUCCCCGGGCUUAACCUGGGAACUGCGCUUGUGACUGCAAGACUCGAGUACGGCAGAGGGGGGUAGAAUUCCACGUGUAGCAGUGAAAUGCGUAGAGGUGUGGAGGAAUACCGAUGGCGAAGGCAGCCCCCUGGGUCGAUACUGACGCUCAUGCACGAAAGCGUGGGGAGCAAACAGG
rnacentral:rRNA from 1 species